CCAUGUCGGGCGAUGUUGUUCGUGGCUUGUGUCUCACGUCAACUCCAGCCGCUUCAUUCUUCAGACAAUCGCGAACACCUCUCUCGCAGGGGUUGUUUUUAACUGUGCCCAGCUGUGUUUAGAAAACAUGAGGCAAACAGAUGAUUGAUAAGCGGCUAUAAGCGAUUAAGAAGAGGAGAAGAAAACGUAAAUCAGAAAAUUAGUCAUCGGAGAGCGCUUAAUUCAUUUGGUAUGCGAAAUCUGUUCGUGAUCGCCGCGUUGUGGUACUUCUCCACUACCACUUUCCACGGAGGAGAAACAACAUAUUAGGAAUUCUAAAGGCUAUCAAAUGAUAGCUUAUAAGAAGCAAAGACGAAAGGUUGACCCAGUCAAGCAAAUUUUGGCUCGACUUGACGAAAAGCAAAGCAAGUCAGGAUUGUCUUUAUACUCAAGAAAUGACAUCCAUAAAUCAGCAAAAGAGGAAGCUCUGCCAAUGGUACAUCCAUUUAAUGGUAGGAAGUAUGCAUAUUAAUCAUGUAACUGUUCUUAGCUUGAGCUGUUCAUAGAACUUACCAUAACCAGAUGCCAACCUGGGAGAUCACUAAGUCUAAAAAAAUAUGUUGUUAAAAGCAGAAGAGCUCUGCCGAUAAUUUAAACCUCUUUUGCUCCUUAGCUCAAAUGUGGCCAUAAAACCUUAGGGAGCUACCUUUAGUGCUUCACUUUGUUCUGGGUGAUUUGGUGACUCGUCUGGAGACUGGUACAUGUUGAUAAUGUUGGUCUGCGUCGUGCUUAUGACAUUUUUGUUCAGGCAUGCACAGAAAUCAAAAUUUUGAGAUGGUUUUUGGAUGAGAAAGU